rnacentral:lncRNA from 1 species
UAGGUGUUGGAACAGGCGAUGGAUAUGAUCUAAAAGUCCAAAUAGUAAUGAAGAAAAAGAUUGUCUUUUCCUGCACUUCCUUAAACAGUUGUCGGGUAUUUCAUGACACUGAAACAGACAGGGUAAUAAUUGAUGUGUUCAACUGUCCACCUCUGUAUGAUGAUGUGAAAGUGCAAGCUUCCUCUUCGGGACAUGUGUGAAGCUGGAAACCAUCAUCCUCAGCAAACUAUCACAAGAUCAGAAAACCAAACACCACAUGUUCUCACUCACAGGUGAGAGUUGAACAAAGAAAACACGUGGACAUAGGGAGGGGAACAUCACACACUGGG